GAGCCGGGACAGCGCCAGCUCCGCCUCCUCCGGCCCGGCGGGCGGUGGCGGGGACGACGGCGCGCGGCGAGGGACAUGCGCUUCCGGAACGCGAACGCUCUCCGGGCCCGACUGGCGCUCCUGCAGUCGGGCUCCCCGCCGCGCCGAGCCGGAGUCUCGCCCACCUGCCCCCCGGGCACAGCGGCUGGGGGAGAAGCCAUGUGGUCUCCCGCAGCAGUUAAGAGCUGCUGGCAAAUUUCUGGGGUUUGAAUCCAGAUUCCAUCAUGCCUAAUAGCUAUGUGAUCCUAAGACGCCUUUCUCCUUUUCGUAACAAGUACAACUCUGGUGGAGCGGAAAGGCCAGUGCCUUAAUACCAGUGCCACACCUCUGGAAGUUCUUUGCCUUAAGGACGUUUCAAGCCUGGAUGUGUAUGGGGAGGAAGGCAUACGUGUUCAUCCAUGUACCAAACCCCCAGACCCCUAGGGCUGGGCCGCACGGAAGGCCCAAGGAGCUGGCGGAUAAAGCCACAGCUUCAGUGUUGGCAGAGUUCACUGCCAGGGAUGGCUGCUGACUGUAGGGCACUAAUGCUGGGCAACCAGGACCAAGGAAGAGAAGAUCGUGGAAAGAGCAUGGACAGGGCACUCUUUUGGCAUCACAGGUGAACCUAAGUGACGAAGCCCCUUUCUGCCCUCUGCCCUUGGCCAAAAGAACAACCCCCAGUUCCUGUUUCUUACUGAUGAGGUUGAGGGGUGUUAAGGGGCGAGACAGGACAUCCCGCAAACUCUCCAGCCAUUCCCGCUGCUCCUUCUCGCUGGGACAGGUGAGGACGAAUCUCCGCUCUGGGGUGACAAUAGUGAUGCCGGCUUUCCAGCGAUUCCCUCGGAUGCCCUUGGGGAGGUCUUCAUAUAUUUCGUAUCCCUGCUCAUUGCUCCCGAGAAAAACCUGGCCCUGCUCAAAAGCAUCCUGAAAAUAGAGGGUACGUGGUCAUCAGAGGCCACCCCGGGGUGGGGAGCAGGGGGGCCCCUGCAGCCCUGACAGCCCUCAAGUUUUAUUUUGGGAAAGGGGUGUGAGUGUCCUUGCCAGGAUUUCUGCUAGGUGGGACCCAGAAUUUGGAAGAUUAAAAAACCCUGGAAUAAAUCACACACAUCAUCUGUUAAAAAGACACUUAACAUUUACAGAGAGCUUAUUAAA